UACGUAGGGGGCGAGCGUUGUCCGGAUUUAUUGGGCGUAAAGAGCUCGUAGGCGGUUUGGUAAGUCGGGUGUGAAAUCUCCACGCUCAACGUGGAGGGGCCACUCGAUACUGCCAUGACUCGAGUCCGGUAGAGGAGUGUGGAAUUCCCGGUGUAGCGGUGAAAUGCGCAGAUAUCGGGAGGAACACCCGUAGCGAAGGCGGCACUCUGGGCCGGAACUGACGCUGAGUCACGAAAGCGUGGGGAGCGAACAGG
rnacentral:rRNA from 1 species